UCUGCUCCUGGAGGUGUUGCAGGUGUGGCUGCUGUGUCACAUGUGCUUCAGUAAGUAGCAAAGAUGAUAGGAGUUUUGUGUACACUCAGUGUUCUGACCUAUGAACAUCUGAAUUUGUAACCUAACAUU
rnacentral:snoRNA from 1 species